UCUACGGAGAGUUUGAUCCUGGCUCAGGACGAACGCUGGCGGCGUGCUUAACACAUGCAAGUCGAACGGUGAACUCCGCUUGCGGGGGGAUCAGUGGCGAACGGGUGAGUAACACGUGGGCAACCUGCCCUCAGCUCUGGGAUAACUCCAAGAAAUUGGGGCUAAUACCGGAUAUGACUGCUGACCGCAUGGUCUGGUGGUGGAAAGAUUUAUCGGCUGGGGAUGGGCCCGCGGCCUAUCAGCUUGUUGG
rnacentral:rRNA from 1 species